GGAUACAUAGUUUAAGGUAAAAUGAUGCUUUUGUAAAGCAUUGAUAGAUGAAGUAUUUUCUUGUUUUCA
rnacentral:tRNA from 1 species